GGAUUAAAAAGAUCCCAUACCGAUAUCUGAAUUAUGCCAAGCAAGGGCUCAUCGAUGCGGAUAUUUGCAACCUCGAUUUUGGAUUUCCAUGUC
rnacentral:rRNA from 1 species